rnacentral:rRNA from 1 species
UUGCACGCUGGCGGCAUGCCUUACCCAUGCCAGUCGCACGGCAGCACGGGUGCUUGCCCCUGGUGGCGAGUGGCGAACGGGUGAGUAAUACAUCGGAACAUGUCCUGUAGUGGGGGAUAGCCCGGCGAAAGCCGGAUUAAUACCGCAUACGAUCUACGGAUGAAAGCGGGGGACCUUCGGGCCUCGCGCUAUAGGGUUGGCCGAUGGCUGAUUAGCUAGUUGGUGGGGUAAAGGCCUACCAAGGCGACGAUCAGUAGCUGGUCUGAGAGGACGACCAGCCACACUGGGACUGAGACACGGCCCAGACUCCUACGGGAGGCAGCAGUGGGGAAUUUUGGACAAUGGGCGAAAGCCUGAUCCAGCAAUGCCGCGUGUGUGAAGAAGGCCUUCGGGUUGUAAAGCACUUUUGUCCGGAAAGAAAUCCUUGGCCCUAAUACGGUCGGGGGAUGACGGUACCGGAAGAAUAAGCACCGGCUAACUACGUG